rnacentral:rRNA from 1 species
GACGAACGCUGGCGGCGUGCCUAAUACAUGCAAGUUGAGCGCUGAAGGUUGGUACUUGUACCGACUGGAUGAGCAGCGAACGGGUGAGUAACGCGUGGGGAAUCUGCCUUUGAGCGGGGGACAACAUUUGGAAACGAAUGCUAAUACCGCAUAAAAACUUUAAACACAAGUUUUAAGUUUGAAAGAUGCAAUUGCAUCACUCAAAGAUGAUCCCGCGUUGUAUUAGCUAGAUGGUGAGGUAAAGGCUCACCAAGGCGAUGAUACAUAGCCGACCUGAGAGGGUGAUCGGCCACAUUGGGACUGAGACACGGCCCAAACUCCUACGGGAGGCAGCAGUAGGGAAUCUUCGGCAAUGGACGAAAGUCUGACCGAGCAACGCCGCGUGAGUGAAGAAGGUUGUCGGAUCGUAAAACUCUGUUGGUAGAGAAGAACGUUGGUGAGAGUGGAAAGCUCAUCAAGUGACGGUAACUACCCAGAAAGGGACGGCUAACUACGUG